AUACGGAGGGGACUAGCGUUGUUCGGAAUUACUAGGCGUAAAGCGUACGUAGGCGGAUCGGAAGGUAUAGGGUGAAAUCCCAGGGCUUAACCCUGGAACUGCCUUAUAAACUCCCGGUCUUGAGUUCGAGAGAGGUGAGUGGAAUUCCGAGUGUAGAGGUGAAAUUCGUAGAUAUUCGGAGGAACACCAGUGGCGAAGGCGGCUCACUGGCUCGAUACUGACGCUGAGGUACGAAAGUGUGGGGAGCAAACAGGAUUAGAAACCCCAGUAGUCC
rnacentral:rRNA from 1 species